rnacentral:rRNA from 1 species
CACGUAGGGUGCGAGCGUUGUCCGGAAUUAUUGGGCGUAAAGAGCUCGUAGGCGGUGUGUCGCGUCGGCCGUGAAAACCUGCAGCUUAACUGUGGGCUUGCGGUCGAUACGGGCAUCACUGGAGUUCGGCAGGGGAGACUGGAAUUCCUGGUGUAGCGGUGAAAUGCGCAGAUAUCAGGAGGAACACCGGUGGGCGAAGGCGGAUCUCUGGGCCGGUCCUGACGCUGAGACGCGAAGGCGUGGGGAGCGAACGGG